rnacentral:rRNA from 1 species
GACGAACGCUGGCGGCGUGCUUAACACAUGCAAGUCGAACGGAAAGGCCCUGCUUUUGUGGGGUGCUCGAGUGGCGAACGGGUGAGUAACACGUGAGUAACCUGCCCUUGACUUUGGGAUAACUUCAGGAAACUGGGGCUAAUACCGGAUAGGAGCUCCUGCUGCAUGGUGGGGGUUGGAUAUUUUGGGCGGUUGGGGAUGGACUCGCGGCUUAUCAGCUUGUUGGUGGGGGAGUGGCUUACCAAGGCUUUGACGGGUAGCCGGCCUGGGAGGGUGACCGGCCACAUUGGGACUGAGAGACGGCCCAGGCUCCUACGGGGGGCAGCAGUGGGGAAUAUUGCACAAUGGGCGGAAGCCUGAUGCAGCAACGCCGCGUGCGGGAUGACGGCCUUCGGGUUGUAAACCGCUUUCGCCUGUGACGAAGCGUGAGUGACGGUAAUGGGUAAAGAAGCACCGGCUAACUACGUG